rnacentral:rRNA from 1 species
UACGUAGGGUGUGAGCGUUGUCCGGAAUUACUGGGCGUAAAGGGCGCGCAGGCUGUUAUGCGAGUCUGCUGUGAAAUGUACCGGCUCAACCGGUGCCUUGCGGCGGAUACUGCAUAGCUGGAGUACUGGAGAGGGAAGUGGAAUUCCCGGUGUAGCGGUGAAAUGCGUAGAUAUCAGGAGGAAUACCGAAGGCGAAGGCAGUCUUCCAAGCCGUUAUUGACGCUCAACUGCGAAGGUGUGGGUAUCAAACAGGAUUAGA